UUAGUUUUUCAACUAUUGUUUCAUGCAUCUGGUCUAAUAAUAACAUCCUAUUAUUUCAAAUAAAUCUUCUAUCAAUACUAAACUACUUUUAAAACUUUCUAGAGUUAUGACAAACGCAAUCCAUCUAUUAUCUAUGUUUGUCUAAGUUCUUCAGAAAUGUCACCUCUGAGACUCAAACUUACAUACAGAUACAAGCCCAUGAAAUGACUAAAAAUGGAAGACAUGUGGCUUAUGAUGCUCUCCUUGAGUACAAACCCGUG
rnacentral:lncRNA from 1 species